CGGACACAUCACAUUGAAACACCGGUUUCCGUACGAUCACUGAAGUUAAGUAACGUCGAACCUGGUCAGUAACUUGAUGGGUGACUGCUUGGGAAUACCAAGUGCUGUAAG